rnacentral:rRNA from 1 species
UCAAGACAUGAAGUUAGGUCAGCAAACCCGCUGAACUUAAGCAUAU